UACGUAGGGGGCUAGCGUUGUCCGGAAUCAUUGGGCGUAAAGCGCGUGUAGGCGGCCCGGUAAGUCCGCUGUGAAAGUCGGGGGCUCAACCCUCAGAUGCCGGUGGAUACUGUCGGGCUCGAGUACGGAAGAGGCGAGUGGAAUUCCUGGUGUAGCGGUGAAAUGCGCAGAUAUCAGGAGGAACACCGAUUGCGAAGGCAGCUCGCUGGGACGUGACUGACGCUGAGACGCGAAAGCGUGGGGAGCAAACAGG
rnacentral:rRNA from 1 species